rnacentral:rRNA from 1 species
UACGAGGGGGGCGAGCGUUGUUCGGAAUUAUUGGGCGUAAAGGGUGCGUAGGCGGUUCCGCAAGUCCUGUGUGAAAUCUUCGGGCUCAACUCGAAGUCUGCACGGGAAACUGCGGGGCUUGAGUGUGGGAGAGGUGAGUGGAAUUCCCGGUGUAGCGGUGAAAUGCGUAGAUAUCGGAAGGAACACCAGUGGCGAAGGCGACUUCCUGGCCCGUAACUGACACUGAGGCGCGAAAGCGUGGGGAGCGAACAGG